GACGAACGUUGGCGGCGUGCUUAAUACAUGCAAGUCAACUGAAGCAGUGGUAGCAAUAUCGCUGUGGAGGUGGCGCACGGGUGAGUAACACGUAGGUAAUCUGCCUUCAGGUCUGGCAUAACUCCGGGAAACCGGGGCUAAUAGCAGCUGAUGCAGCGGCUCGACAUCGAGACAGUUGUUAAAGCUAUGGCGCCUGAAGAUGAGCCUGCGUCUGAUUAGCUAGUUGGCGGGGUAACGGCCCACCAAGGCAACGAUCAGUAGCUGGUCUGAGAGGAUGAUCAGCCACACUGGAACGGAGACACGGUCCAGACUCCGACGGGAGGCAGCAGUAAGGAAGAUUGCUCAAUGGGAGAAAGCCUGAAGCAGCAACGCCGCGUGAGGGACGAAGGGCUUUGGCUUGUAAACCUCUGUAGUGAGAGAAAAAAAUCCCAAUCUUUGGGACAUGAUGGUAUCUCAAAAGUAAGCCCCGGCUAACUACGUG
rnacentral:rRNA from 1 species